GUGAACGCUGGCGGUAGGCCUAACACAUGCAAGUCGAACGGCAGCACAGUAAGAGCUUGCUCUUACGGGUGGCGAGUGGCGGACGGGUGAGGAAUACAUCGGAAUCUACUUUUUCGUGGGGGAUAACGUAGGGAAACUUACGCUAAUACCGCAUACGAUCUACGGGUGAAAGCAGGGGAUCUUCGGACCUUGCGCGAUUGAAUGAGCCGAUGUCGGAUUAGCUAGGUGGCGGGGUAAAGGCCCACCAAGGCGACGAUCCGUAGCUGGUCUGAGAGGAUGAUCAGCCACACUGGAACUGAGACACGGUCCAGACUCCUACGGGAGGCAGCAGUGGGGAAUAUUGGACAAUGGGCGCAAGCCUGAUCCAGCCAUACCGCGUGGGUGAAGAAGGCCUUCGGGUUGUAAAGCCCUUUUGUUGGGAAAGAAAAGCAGCAGGUUAAUACCCCGCUGUUCUGACGGUACCCAAAGAAUAAGCACCGGCUAACUUCGUG
rnacentral:rRNA from 1 species